rnacentral:sRNA from 1 species
AGUGAGGCUCUCAGUAUCAGAAUAUUUUUUUGGCUCUCAGAGGGUUAAAAGAUGGUAAAACAUGUCUGUUAACAGUAAGAGUUAAUAUAACAGAGAGAGUAGCCCCUGACAUGUUGAUACAUACAGCACAAGGUAAGAGUUAAUAUAACAGAGAGAGUAGCCCCUGACAUGUUGAUACAUACAGCACAAGGUAAGAGUUAAUAUAACAGAGAGGGUAGCCCCUGACAUGUUGAUACAGACAGCACAAGGUAAGAGUUAAUAUAACAGAGAGGGUAGCCCCUGACAUGUUGAUACAUACAGCACAAAGAGCGGGAGCCCAUGUGUACAUCAAAUUGAGAGAAAAAAGAAGUGUAUGUCACAUUGAGAGAAUACAUAAGUGUAUGUCACAAUGAGAGACUACAGAAGUGUUGAGAGAAAGCAAAAGUGAGAGAAAACAGAAGUGCAUGUUGUGUAGAGGUAAAACAGAAGGUGUAUGUCACAUUGAGAGAAAAAGAAUUGUAUGUCACAUUGAGAGAAAAAAGAAUUGUAUGUCACAUUGAGAGAAAAAAGAAUUGUAUGUCACAUUGAGAGAAAAAAGAAUUGUAUGUCACAUUGAGAGAAAAAAGAAGGUUUAUGUCACAUGGAGAGAAAAUAGAAGUGUAGGCCUAUGUCACAUUGAGAGAAAGCAUAAGUGUAUGUCACAUUGAGAGAAAAAAGAAAGUGUAUACCACAUGGAGAGAAAAUAGAAGUGUAUGUCACAUUGAGACAAAGGUGUAUGUCACAUUACGAGAAAAUAGAAUUCAUAUUGAGAGAAAAGAAAAGUGUAUGCUACACUGAGAGAAAAGAAAAGUGUAUGCAGAACUGAGCUAAACCAGUGUGUCCGUCACAUCAGACACAGAAUACAGAUUGUAAAGAAAGUUGUCAGGUCAAGAGUAAACAACAGACAAAAGAAUAGUAAUACUAUAUCAGGAAAAGACAAAGAUACUGGAGUAAAGUAAAAUUAGAACUUAAACAAAAAAUACUAUCAAAAUCAAUAUCAAAAUCUAAUUUUGAUCCAAUGACAAUAUCAAUAGAGCCUAUUUAAAAAAAAUAUUAUGAAAAAAGUCAAAGAAUUAGAUCUAGAUAAGAAUGCAAUAAACCAAUAAUUAGCCACAAAUCAAAACCAUAAGUCCAGCAAUAACUAAGAAAUGGUACAACCAGAAAAUAAAUAAA